rnacentral:lncRNA from 1 species
GGGCUUGCCCACAGACUGAGUGAAAGGCAGGCUGGCAGGCGAUGAAGAUGGUCGAUCCAGACAUAUCGGGUGGAACGUUAGCUCGCUGCAAACUGCAGUAAACGAACAGCAUCCUGAUCCUGAGCACUGACCCUAACAACCGCAAGGCUCCUAACUCAUCUACCUCGACAUCCCUCUUUACCCUGGUACUGGCACUGCUUCACACACAGAAGAUAGAUGAGCCUGGGAGGUGGUGCUUGAGUGGAGUCCUACUGGGAGAAGUAAUGCUCUGUGUGUA